rnacentral:tRNA from 1 species
GCCAUACUAAUAGUGUCCAAUUAGAUUGGUUAGCGCGUGAGACUUUUAAUCUCAAGGCUCAGGGUUCGAGUCCCUGGUCGGGCG